GACGAACGCUGGCGGCGUGCCUAAUACAUGCAAGUCGAGCGCUAACGGUUGGUACUUGUCCCAACUGGGUGAGCAGCGAACGGGUGAGUAACGCGUGGGGAAUCUGCCUUUUAGCGGGGGACAACAUUUGGAAACGAAUGCUAAUACCGCAUAAAAACUUUAAACACAAGUUUUAAGUUGGAAAGAUGCAAUUGCAUCACUCAAAGAUGAUCUCGCGUUGUAUUAGCUAGGUGGUGAGGUAAAGGCUCAACAAGGCGAAGGUACAUAGCCGACCUGAGAGGGUGGACCAGCAACUUGGGAAUUGGAAAAGGCCCAAACUCCUUAGGGAGGCAACAGUAGGGAAACUUUGGAAAUGGAGGAAAGUCCGGCCGAGGAAAGCCGCGUGGGGGGAGAAGGGUUUUGGAUCGUAAAACUACGUUGGUAGAGAAGAAAGUUGGUGAGAGUGGAAAGCUCAUCAAGUGACGGUACCUAAACAGAAAGCGACGGCUAACUACGUG
rnacentral:rRNA from 1 species